CUACGUGCCAGCAGCCGCGGUAAUACGGAAGGUCCGGGCGUUAUCCGGAUUUAUUGGGUUUAAAGGGAGCGUAGGCUGGAGAUUAAGUGUGUUGUGAAAUGUAGACGCUCAACGUCUGACUUGCAGCGCAUACUGGUUUCCUUGAGUACGCACAACGUUGGCGGAAUUCGUCGUGUAGCGGUGAAAUGCUUAGAUAUGACGAAGAACUCCGAUUGCGAAGGCAGCUGACGGGAGCGCAACUGACGCUUAAGCUCGAAGGUGCGGGUAUCAAACAGGAUUAGAUACCCUGGUAGUCCGCACAGUAAACGAUGGAUGCCCGCUGUUGGUACCUGGUAUCAGCGGCUAAGCGAAAGCAUUAAGCAUCCCACCUGGGGAGUACGCCGGCAACGGUGAAACUCAAAGGAAUUGACGGGGGCCCGCACAAGCGGAGGAACAUGUGGUUUAAUUCGAUGAUACGCGAGGAACCUUACCUGGGCUUGAA
rnacentral:rRNA from 1 species